CAUGCCCAGAGACUGCAGUGACGUUAUGGCGGCGGGAAAGUCCCAAAGUGGAGUCUAUAUCAUCUUUAGCGGGUCCAACAGCUUCGAGGCUUACUGCAACAUGAACCUGGACGGGGGAGGCUGGACCGUGAUCCAGAGGAGAAAGGACGGCUCCGUCGACUUCUUUCGGGGUUGGAACGACUAUCGAAAGGGCUUUGGAGACCUCGCCGGAGAGCACUGGCUCGGCCUGCAAAACAUCCACGCUCUGACGGCCUCGGGCGCUUACCAGUUGCGGAUCGACUUCACCAUAUUCGACGGCCGCAAUUACUACGCUCUCUACGACGACUUCUCGGUGGGCCGGAACUCGCUGGACCCCGAAAAGGAUGGCUACCCGCUGCUUGUGAGCGGCUACUCUGGAAACGCAGGCGAUAGAUUCGCCUACCAUUCUGGGAUGAAGUUCAGCACCAAAGACCGCGACCAAGACAGGACUGGUGACAAUUGCGCCAAUGACCGGAAGGGCGCUUGGUGGUAUUUCAGCUGUGCCAACUGCAACCUGAACGCGCUGUACAAGGCAACCGGCACCUGCGACGAAACCAAUGCAGUCUGGUAUGAUUUGGGGCCAACACGGUAUGCCUGCCUGAGAUUCGUGGAGAUUAAGAUCCGGCCCAGAAAGUGAGCGGUCAGCCGGCGGAGCCUGGGAACGGCAUCCCCGUGGGAUCACGUGGGUGCUGCCCGACGUCACCCAUUUGCGCAGUUCCUCAAAAUGAAGUCUUAUUAAAAAGCAGUUCGGCGCUGUUGCAGUUCCAAAUUUCACCAGCAGACGGUGCCAAAUUUAGACUGACGUGACAUGGUAAAUCCGUCGUUAGAUUAGUCGAAGUUAUUGACUCGGGAAACACGAUCUGUUUUGAAGUACACACACACACACACACACACACACUCACUCACUUUUGGAUCAUUUUAGGAUGUUUUGCUUUGCUUUCAUAAAAUCCCUUCCAUCUGUUAACAUAAGGAGUGUCCAUAAGCAUAGGUUAGCUACGAUUGAUUAUGUGUUUAGUUAGUGAGUGUUCGAUGAAGUUGUGUUUUACAAUGACAUGGGUUAAAGUAAGGGUACAUUUGACAUUCUCUUGCUUUGCCAUGAAAUAACUAACAGCUGAAGCAUUCCAAUGACAUCUGUUAAAGUAAGGGUACCCACCCAUAACCAUUGUUUAGUUAGGUUGCGUUGAAUAUUGAGUUAGGUUUCAUUUUCUUCCUUUUUGCGUCAUUUCCGUUGAAUAUUUUCAAACAUGGUUGAUUGCUGUUGAUGUCACAAGGUUGGUUGGAUGG